AUGAAUCAUAUCUCCAUAAAGAACAGACACUUCACAUUGCUGCAUGAUUAUGCCUUGUUCGGUAUGCGCAGAAACUUAAAAAGGAAAGAAUUAAUGAGAUUCACCGACUGGAAAUGGAAAAAACCUCGAGAAAAUCAGAGAUCCUUGGCUACGACCUCAGGAACUGAAGAUUCUGAUCUUUCAAUGAUAUUGAAGAUAAUGAUGUUGUGGAAUUGA